rnacentral:rRNA from 1 species
GGACGGGUGAGUAAUGCCUAGGAAAUUGCCCUGAUGUGGGGGAUAACCAUUGGAAACGAUGGCUAAUACCGCAUGAUGCCUACGGGCCAAAGAGGGGGACCUUCGGGCCUCUCGCGUCAGGAUAUGCCUAGGUGGGAUUAGCUAGUUGGUGAGGUAAGGGCUCACCAAGGCGACGAUCCCUAGCUGGUCUGAGAGGAUGAUCAGCCACACUGGAACUGAGACACGGUCCAGACUCCUACGGGAGGCAGCAGUGGGGAAUAUUGCACAAUGGGCGCAAGCCUGAUGCAGCCAUGCCGCGUGUGUGAAGAAGGCCUUC